rnacentral:rRNA from 1 species
AACGAACGCUGGCGGCGCGCCUAAUACAUGCAAGUCGAGCGAGAAGACGUAGCAAUACGUUUGUAAAGCGGCGAACGGGUGAGGAAUACAUGGGUAACCUACCCUCGAGUGGGGAAUAACUAGCCGAAAGGUUAGCUAAUACCGCGUACGCUCCUUGGACUUCGGUUCAGGGAGGAAAGCGAUACCGUGGGUAUCGCGCUCUUGGAUGGGGCUCAUGUCCUAUCAGCUUGUUGGUGAGGAACGGCGUCACCAAGGCUUCGACGGGUAGCCUGGUCUGAGAGGACGGAUCAGCCACACUGGCACUGCGACACGGGCCAGACUCCUACGGGAGGCAGCAGUAAGGAAUAUUGCGCAAUGGGCGAAAGCCUGACGCAGCGACGCCGCGUGGGGGA